GCACGGUGUGGUUGUUGGGGGGCCGGUUGUGCUGGUCGGAUGCUCUGCUCUACUGCAGACGGCAUCACUGGGACCUCCUCAGCAUCCACAGCCAGGACGAGCAGAUGCAGGUGGAGCAGCUGAUCGCACACACCUCUCUCUCUCCUCUUUCUGACCAUGUGUGGCUGGGACUGCGCAGAGAAGUGAUGGGUAUGCGGUGGUUCUGGAUGUCAGGGGAAGCGGUGACUUUUGACAAUUGGAGGAUGCACCCCCCUGUGUUCCCAAACCCGUGUGGUGGCAUGGAGAGGGACACUAGCCUGUGGAGCCCGCUGCCCUGUGGGGAAAACAACAACUUUCUCUGCCAAUCAGCUCCAGCACAGAACACUACAAAAGUGUAUUACUACAGCAGCAAGGACCCGAUGCCAUAAC
ensembl:lncRNA